rnacentral:lncRNA from 1 species
UAAUUCCUCUAGGAUCUUGAUCAAAUCUUCGUAGACCACUUACUAUGGUAAUUAUUUGUAAGAGAAAAACAGUACGACUUUAAAAAGAGUGGUUAAGGUCAAAAUGAAUCUCCCUGUAGGUAAUUACAAUUUAACGUCCCUUUUCAUAAGAGAUAUUCCUCAACAUUAUGUCUCUGUCUUCAGGACACUCCUUUGUUUUCUAUCUUGGUCUUCCUCGCAAUGGACCAUCUUUAGCUGUCUGUUGGGCAUCCUUUAUGCUUAAUGGGCCAUUGACUUUCUCUAUGGCCUUCUUUUUUUCUUCUACACUUCUUGAGUAUUCAUUAAAGGACUAUUUAAUUUUAACAUGAUCUUCAUGUGCCUCUUUUGUUGAUAAAGAUGUAAGGACAUGAUUCAAACCUUCCUUUCUCAGUGAAUAUCAAUUGGUGCGGCCGUAAUGUUGUACCUGUCUAUUAAACUACAAGGUCUUCCAAGUAUCAGGUGACUAGCAUGCAUAGGUACGAUAUCACAACAUACCUCGUCGUGAUUUUUUUGAUGGAGAACGAUACUAUGACUUGUUUGGUAACUUGAAUUUCGCCACACUCAUUCAACCACUGUAACCGAUAAGGAUUUGGAUGCUUGAUGCAUGUCAACCUUGCUCUUUUCACGAAUAGAGUGCUUGCCACAUUAGCACUGCUACCACUAUCAAUGAUCAUUCCACAUACCUUAUCAUGGACAAGGCAUCGCGUGUGGAAUAUGUUCUCCCUCUGGUCGUUGUCCUCUCAUUGGGCUUAUAGGUUCAUGACCCUUCGGACAACAAUGAUACUUUCUCGGAAUGAAAGCAUGUCACUUUAUUGAAACAUAGUGAAUUUUCCUGCAAGGUAAAGGUUAAUGAAAGAAAAUAUCUCCCUCACCUUCACUCAUGUUUACCUUGCAAUCUCUCAGUUGACAGCUUCGUCUGUCGAGUUGAGCAUUUGAAAUCGAAAUCACUUAAAUCAGGUCUACACGUUAGUCCUUAUGACACAAGGAACCCUAAAGGAUUCUGAUUUCUACUGAAGCUCAGAAACAAACACACAGAAAAAAAGAAUGGUGUGCUCUUUAUGCGUUAAACAACUAGUAAUAAUUAGUCACUUAAUUAUGUAACAGUCAUAAAAUAAAGAAAACAAAAAUAUAGAUCACAAAGAAUGACAA